CUGCUGUGAACCAUAUUCCAGCAGUAACCUUUGAAAUCCAUCACUUGACUGCACACAAGUGUGGUCUAAAAGGGACUUGUCGGAGAAUUCUUUCCAGAAUGCCACCUACCUCGAUUCUUUAACUUUUCUCUCUGAAUUUACAUGGCUUUCUGGUUUAGCACUGCAUAUCCAAGGCACACAAGAAAUUUGAGAUAUUCAGUCCAAGGUAAAUUAAGGGAACGUGAUUAUCAGGACUUUGAAAGACCCAGUAGUCACCAGCUAAAAUGUACCACAAAAAGAACCCAGCUACGACAACAAGGGAAGUCCCUGAAAAAGGCUGGAAGCAAAAUGACCAUAAUUGAAAUCUGAAAGCAGCAACUUCAUAGAGAAGUAAACGAAGAGGCGGCUCUUUGUAAAUGAUGAUCUAAAAAGUGUUCUGGGUUGUAAGACCUCAUUUCAAAUGUAUUCAUUAAAUAAUAU